rnacentral:rRNA from 1 species
ACCAGACUCCUACGGGAGGCAGCAGUGGGGAAUAUUGGGCAAUGGGCGCAAGCCUGACCCAGCAACGCCGCGUGAAGGAAGAAGGCUUUCGGGUUGUAAACUUCUUUUCUCAGGGACGAAGCAAGUGACGGUACCUGAGGAAUAAGCCACGGCUAACUACGUGCCAGCAGCCGCGGUAAUACGUAGGUGGCAAGCGCUAUCCGGAUUUACUGGGCGUAAAGGGCGCGUAGGUGGGCGCUUAAGUCAGGUGUGAAAACUCCGGGCUCAACCUGGAGACUACACUUGAAACUGGGUGUCUUGAGGGCAGGAGAGGAAAGUGGAAUUCCUAGUGUAGCGGUGAAAUGCGUAGAUAUUAGGAGGAACACCAGUGGCGAAGGCGGCUUUCUGGACUGUACCUGACGCUGAGGCGCGAAAGCGUGGGGAGCAAACAGGAUUAGAUACCCCAGUAAGA